UGGUGAUUCAAUCCAAUUUGGCGUUAAGAAUGAACCUUCUCAGGAAUAAACCUUGUGGGUGGUAGUGAUUCAAUCUUUAUGUGGUGUUAAACAUGAAGGUUCUCCCAUAAAGCCCAACAUCACAAACCAAUUCGUAACCGACGUCGGUAAUACUAUGCUAGGAAUUUCGGAAAGAAAUUUCGACAUCUCCCACUGUCCCACACGUUUCA
rnacentral:lncRNA from 1 species